AAACCUAUCUUGCAUGACAGGAAAUCAGUCUUGUGUGCUGUGGGUCACCAGCAUGCGAACCCAGAAACAAAUCUGUACUAAUGAGCAACUUCAGGCACGGUUUGCUUUACAGAUGAACAAAACAAAUAAAGCGUGCUUUAUUUUGACUUAAGAGCUGCUCUCCUUUUCUGUCUGUGGCAGCACAGCCUUUCAGCUCAUUAUCUGAGGACUCACCUUGUGAAGGAAAGCAGCAGAUCUGUUCGUGCUGCAGAUCAGCCUCUCAAAAGUCACACCGAGAACUACUGCUUGAGUUUGCCAAGAGCCGGAACGACUGAAGGAGAUAACCACCGCACUCAGAACAAACAUCAGUAGCUCAAAUGCCAGUAGUAACUAUGAACAGAAUUGGCACUUUAACCAGCUCCAUCUUCAGAACAAGAAAAGAAAAUGGAAGCAUAUAAAAUAGGCUGUUGAGCAGCCUGUCCUGCUUUCCUCGGUUCAGUAGCUUCAGCAAACAAAGAAAACUCUGUACUGUACGCGGAUACAGAGGCCACAGAUUCUGUGUAACAGGACAGAACAGAAUUUGUUUCCUUCCUUUAGGUGUCUGAGCUUCAGUUAUGUGUGGUAAUUGUGAAGCCUUUUACACAGAUCUCAGAGUGGUUGAGGUUGUGAGGAGCCACAACCUCAGGAGGAGGAGUGGGAUCAUUCAGUCCACCUUCUGCUUCAGGUACAGUCACCUAGAGCACAUUGCCCAGGAUCACAUCCAGGAGGCCACAAUAUCCUCUUUCUUCAAAGUGGUUUGAGGCAUUGCUAUCCCUUCUCAUCUCAUGUGUUCAAUUCAUUCCAGGCCAUCAAGACCUGGACUAUAGCAAAGAAAUGAACACACUGGCUUAAAUGGUGACACUUAAAAGACUUAGAAGAAGGUAACUGGAAGACUCUGAAUAAAAGGAGAUUGCUAAUUUUGAAGGCAGUAACUCAUAUGCAGCAUUCCUGGCUUAUAAAUUGUAUGACAGUAAUAAGGUAAAUAAAUGUCUCCUCUGUUUUGCAUUGUAAUACAGCGGUUUAGAAAGAAUCGUGUCAUCCUAAACAAGGAGAGAACAGUACAGCACUUAUAUUCUGUCUGAGGAAAGGAAAAUGGACAGAAGUCUGGGUGCGAAAAGCAUAGGAGUUCUUCACAGCUGUCUCUUAUCAAGGAAAAGAAACAGCCUGGAAAAUGUUUGAAAUGCACAGUCAGAGAAAUGUGGCUCCAAGGUAUGCUGAGAGAGAGUUCGUCUAACCCAGUUGCCUUCCCAGGCACAGGAUCUUUUCAAAGCAUUAUGCUGUAUACAUUGGUUCUUAAAUUAAUAAUUGAAAAUUAUUAUAUUGACCUAUCUGAAAACAGAAUAACAUCAGUUUCCUCUACCUGCAGGUCAUUUCCAACCUGUCCUAGACUGAUGAGGCAGGCUUUAAAUUCAUCAGAAUGUAGAUUGUCAGAUUCAUCCUAGCAUCCCAUAACAGGUCAUGCAUUUGGAAGGUAAAAGAAAAGAAGGAAAAAAAAAUCACAGACCAGGUUAGUUGGUUAGUAAAGAACAUUCGACACUUUUAUUAGUAACCAUAUGUUUAUAGAACUUAAUGGAAAUGUAAUGUUAAUUUACUGCAAUGAAUUCCCUAAAAUGUGUAAAACUUCUGUAGUUUCAUGCUUUACUUUUUUCCUUAGUGGAAGAGGAGCUGGACUUCAAUUACAAUGUUAAAACUGUGCUUCCUCUACAGGUACUUUUUAAACAUCUUUGCUUACAAGGCAGUUUUUGUUCUGCUGAACUACCAUUUGCUGCUUCCAUUUUCUAUUGCCAUACAGUGUAUCUCAGAUGCAGUAAACAAAUCACUGAAUCUGUACAGAACCUUUUUCCACACUCAGUCACCGUUACUUCUCUCUAGAUCUGAUAUUACUUAGAAACUGAAUAUGCAUAUGUAAAAUGAGAGAACAACUGAGUUAAUGCCUAGAUUCAAAAGAAAUCUAUACCUGACAACUUAUUUUCAGUUCAUUAAUGAUCUAUAAAGUUUUGCUUUGAAAACUGAUUUUAAAGAGUCCCCAUUAAAUUCUAGGUUAAGUGCCCCUAGUACUACCAUGUUAAACUGCAUCCCUGGUUUGAACAAAUUUUUUCAUUCUGUUGGUCAAAAAAUUCACGCUACCUUCUUAAAAAUAGACUUACCCAUCUCUUUCCUCUUGUUCAUACAAAACAAGUCUAUCUGUGUUAGCAUAUACAAUUAAAGAAAUGUUCCUAAGCUGAAAAAAUACUACACUUAUUGAUGUGACAGACUGACUGCUACAUAUAAGAGAGUGGGUUUGCUUGGUGGAUGAAUAACGUACUUCUGAAAAUUUUCAUGUAGUUAUGUAUUACUAAAAUCCUAAGAGUUUUAACAAAUGCAUUAUUUACCAAAUUAAUUGGAUUAAAUGGUGCUUUAUCAAGUUCAUGAUGCCAUGCAUUUUGGACAUAUUGUGUUGUUAGAAUACUGACUCCUCUGCAUCAGCCUCCACCAGCUUCAUGAAGGAAAGAUGAAGAAUAAUGAGACAGAAAGCAAAGCUACACAUUUAGAGCAGCAUUUAGUUGAAAGCCAAAACCACAACCUUUAGCAUCUCUAUUUUAUGGAAUAAUUCCUGCUGCAAAGCAUUCAAAAUGAUUUUAUCAUUAAUGAAAUGAUGUUUUAUCAUUAAUGAAAAUGUUAACAUAGGUUGACUCAAAACUGUCGAAAACUAUUCUGAGGGUAAGCUAUGGGAUCAAGACACAAUAGAAGCAAAGUCAGCUCAUUUGAUCAUAUUUCUAAAGCCAAAGAAAUUUCUGUGCAACUACAAACAAUGUGAUUUUAGAACUGGAGCUAAGAUCCAAAUUCUGUCUCUCCUCCUCCUCUACAGGGUCUUGUAGGAAAAUAUUAGCUAUUCAAAUACACCAGGGGUGUGGGGGUGGUCAGUUUAUGUGUCAGUUGGAAUCAUACAAGAGGCACUGGAGGAGAGUUGAUCGUGAAAGGGGGGGUAGCAUAUCUACCAAAGCAACCAGAAGAGAAGUCAGUGGUUGUGAUCGAGCUCCCAGUCAGCAUUUGGUUUUGGGAUUCCCCAGAAGAGAGCUCAAGUAGUUGUUCCAUGUGCUACAGCAGGCUUUCACAUACUUGUAACGAUUUUUUUAAUCUCUAUGAUCUGUAUCAUCUUCAGUAUUAAAAAAAAAAACAUCUUCACCUUUGCCAUAUAUCAGAGUUGCAGGGGAUACAAUGAUAUUUUGCAAUUCAGUCAUAGAUCAAAAUCCUUUAACGGAUUACUCACUGGAAAAUGGUUCUUUGCGUUGUUUAGAAACCAACAUUAAGCACUGAAAUUAUUGUUGUAAAGCAUUUAAAUAAAUGACUCAUUUAUCCUUUCUUGUCAGUACAAACUAAAACAGUGAAAUCUCACCUUAUUUCAUUAUUACUCCCCAGAGAACUUUUCCUUCUCCCGUGUGAAUUAUAUGUGGCCUUACAUAAAAAAGUGGAAUUUUAAGUGAAAGUAAUGUAUCUUACAAUAUGUGCUUUAUUUUCAUGAAUAUGAAUUGACCUGCACAGGCUUGAUCAUGUGUUUUUUUUAAUGGGAAGCUGUUUUUUUCUGCUAGUAAAGUAAAUGGUGGCAGGAUGCUCUUGUUCUGCAUGCAGAACUCCUACUUAAAAUCUGUAGUUUGCCAAAAAUCGAUAGUAGAAUAUAUCAGCAGCUGGUAGGACACUGCAUGCAAAGCAGUUGCAGACGUUUUAUCCCAUUUUUCUUAGAAUGUACUAAAUAUCCUGAAUUUGAAAAAGGAUUCUACAUUAAAAGACUUGAAAAUCAGUGACUGACAACAUAACUAUUUCAAUGUCCCAAUUUGUCUGCAUACCAUUAUUCAGUUAUGCAACAUUUUGAACACUUCUAAACUGCUGUGAUUUAGACAUUGUGUUCCACUUCCUUUUUUUCCUCUAUGCAAACACAUUAAGAGAGGAGAAGAAAUAUACCAGCAAUAGUAAAGGUUUCUAUUUACACCUACAACUAGACUGUGCCCUUAGGCAUAGCCUCCAGCAAGGAGUUACCUUGCAGCAACAUCCUCAGGAAUAACUUCAGGGGCAUCCGCCUGUAAUUUGAAAGAGAAGAUCCUAGAGGGCUUCCCCUUUGCCUCAAGGGAGUUAGUGUACUUACCAUUUGACUUUAACAAGAUGACUUUUAAUGGAUUUUUUGUGCUAGCAUAGCUGUGCUGGUGGAUAUACUGUAGGAAACACAAGCUCUUUCUGCCCUUAUUAUUCUUCCAUGCACGGUGUCUCCUUACUCAGUGUAAUUUAGGGGGUCAGGGGCACAUAGCCCCAAACAAAAACUUACAAAAUAUCUAAUAGCUUUCUUUUAAAUAUUCAAGAUGCAGAAGCCAUUUAAAAUAAUAACUUAGCUAUCUUCCAAAAAGCUAACAACCACAGAAUUAAGCCCCAUGAUUUAUUAUAAACUGAAAAAAAAAACCCAUAUAUACGUGUUAUUUGCUUUCUUUCCUGGAGAGGAAGAAAGGGGUUCCUUCCUCAGAUUUAUAACUAAAGCAAGUUCUCUUUCGAAGUACUCUAUAAAGAACUGUUAGGUUUAUGUAUACUAAAAUGGGUUCUUUAAAAUGGAGAAGGGGGCUGCUCUGCACAUUAAUAUUUUGCUGACAUCCUCAACACACAUUAAGAGUCAAACAUUAAGAUGUUUCUUAAAGUGGAGAAAUGCCACCAUACAAGUCAGAGCUAUAGCAUGCAUAAAAUGACUCAGUUUUCCGUAUGUAUUUAAGGCCUCCUGCUCAAGGACAGCGUUAGUUUCUAAAAUCUUUUCUGGCUAUCCAUCAAUAUGAAUCGCAGACUAAUUCUUUCAGUGUGUUUUCAAACUACGUCAGGUAUAGAGAAAUGCUCCUAUGAGCAUUACUAAGCAUUACAUACUGCUAAAAGACUGCUUUUUUUUUUUUUUUUGGGGGGGGGGGGGGUCUAACAUGGAGAAGUCGCUACUUUCAUGUUAGUGCUUAUGUUCAUCUUCAUUUCUUUGAGGUGGUCAAGACUGAAAAAAAAAAUCAAUUCCUGCCCUCUCUAUCUAAUUUCCAAGUUUAGAAUCUUCAUUAUUUUGUGUACUCAGAAGUAUCCCUGAAGCAUCCCAGGUUUCCUUCAUUCACUGACAAUAAAUUUUCAAGUGUGCAAUGGAACAAGGAGGAUACAGAAAUCAAAAACAAGCCUGCUCCUCUCAGACACCUUUGCUCAGUGUCUCCUUCUAUCCUGUGCAGAUCAUGGUAUAUCUGCCCUUUAAAUUACAGUGCAAUUUAACCAGUAUAAGCUUCUCUUUUUUUAGUGUUUCUGUUGUCUGUCCUUUACAGAAAGCUUGGCUUGAAGGCUGAGUGGUUUUAGAGUUCAUUUUUUUCCUUUCUUAAACUUACAUUAUGCUUCUAAGAAUAUAAUCGCUCUAUUGUGACUGCACUGUACAAAUCACAGAAUGAGUGAGUUAAGUUUCUUCAUAAAAGUGUUUUGAUUCCUACUUUUUUAUUCAUUACUUAUUAGAUAAAUGAAACAUACAGGCUCUUAUUUCCCACUUACAGACAGGAAGAUAAAGGAUUUUCCUUGGCAACUAUCAUUGCCCUAGCUAUAUUCCCGACAGAUCUACUUCUAGAGCAACAACUUGUGAUUCAAAGAAGUAAACAAAAAUAUUGUAAUCAAGAUUACUGCUACAUUUAAUGAAGUGGAAGCCAUGCUGCACUGCCUUAAUGUAAAAGGGCACAUUAUUUUCCAAAACACAGCGUAUCCAACCCUGUCUGUUAUUUGAACAAGUACUCAACAAUACUAGCAGAACAGUAAUUUGCAUUACAUUUAGAGAGAGUAGGGUAUGUGUAUAAUGCUAAGAUUUCAUAAGGUUAUAAAUAUUUUGUUAAUUGAUCUUUAGAACCAUUUUAAAAAUAGCUUAUUGUUACUGCAUUAGCAGAUUUUUAAGAUUAUAUAUGAAAUGGAAGGAGACUUGCUUUUGGGAACAAUGAAUAUUGCUAGAUGAGAAAAGGCAGGAGUACUGUACCCUGUCAAAAUGAUUGAAUGAUGCUCUGAAGUCAUUCAUUUGCUCCUGGGUGAUACCCUUGGCAUCUCUUGUGAGGAUCUGAGUCUCAACCUCAUUGAUAGUUCGAGCAAUGGUAGUAAGUAGGAGCUCCCAUCCAACACGGAUAUGCUAUGAGAGAGAAAAUACUGAUUCACUGAAGAGUCAAACAUAUUUUUCUAAAACUAUGAAAAGUACAGUCAGCAAAAAUCAGCUCUAAAUGCUUACAUGAUGUCUUAUCCAUACCACUAACUAUACAUUAUAACUGAAGGUCAUAAAAAAUAAAAAUAGUCUUCAGGAAAAUAUGGAACUGGUUUCUAACUGGGUACUUUUUUUUACUAUAACUAAGUGAUCCCUGAGUUUAUUCUGGAUGACAAGACUUGGACUUUGAGUGCUGUUAUUUUCAAUCAUCUCAGUUUAGUUAGAGGCUGUAUUCAAACAACACUUUUUCCCACAUUACCAAUUUCAGCCAUUUUCCAGCAUUCUGUAAAUAAUUAAUGUCACAAGUCACUUUACAAACAUGGGAAUCAUUCUUUAAAACUGAGAAAGCAUCUCCCACAAGUGUGUAAAACAGCUGUCCUCCUACACAUCAGCAGCACUGGGACCUUCACUGGUAAUCUGUAAAUUCUCAUAGCAAAUUAGUAAAGAUGAAACAUUGCUUUGCCACAGGAAAAAAAAAAAAAAAGCGAAAAAAUCCACUGCUGUACUACUGUUUAUCUGAAGGAAAACAAGCCAAGUCAUGAUGAGCUAUAUUUUCAUUCGAACUUUUUGUUUGCAGCAAACCAGAGAAGAAAUCAAGCCAAUUAAAUUUCACUAAGAAGCACUUAAUUUCUGUUCCACCUUUACCAGACCCAGGAAGGGCUCUUCAAAAUAUCUUAUGUCUCAGUCUUGCACUAGGCCAUUCUCAUCAGUAUGUGUGACAAUAAAAUGUGUGACAAAAAAGUUUUACAGUAUUAUCAGAAAGUCUGCCAAAUCUCAUUCUUCAUAGCAGUGUCUUCAGAUCAGGGAAGGCAGUUACAGGGAAGAAGAUGGCAAAACAAUCUAACAAGUACAAAACAGAGUAAAUGCUUACCUCCAUAGUAUAGUUGGUGUGUUUGUUGUCAAACACCAAGGCUUCUUGUAUGAGCUGAUGAUCUCCUUCCAGUUUAUCAAUGUUGUGUUUAUAGUUAAUGAUAUUUUGCUCAUAUUGCUUCAGCUGAUUCAUCUGGUCCUCCAAAGGCCCUGUCAUUUCAAUAGAGCUGCGGGCAAUUUCCUGCAAAAAGACACCCCCCACCACGCAAAAUUUAAGCUUCAGAUUUUCUAAUUUGACUUGCAUUCACAAAAAUAUUUCAUAUUUUCAGAUUAAGAAGCAAAAGUAAUAAAAUCUUCAUACAGAGAUGAUAAACUUUACUGUAGAAAACUCAUUUAAAAAAAAUGUGACUUAUUUAUUUCUGGAAUCAAUAUUGAGUUGCCGGUGAUCCCAAUGUUUUUCUGUAAAGAGCAAAAGCAAAAUAGCUGUUCAGUCAUACUUUUUUCAAAGCUACAUAUCCUACUAACCAUCACUUAUACAAUCUUACAGUUCUAAGAAUCAACAGGGUACUAAAUUCUUUGUGAUUAAACAGCUCGCAAACUAUCACGGAGACUGUUGAUAUCCUGUACAUACAACAAAGAUAACAAAUGAUAAAAUACUUUACUCAUCAGCUUCUGCAUGAGUGUCUGAUACUCACUUCCAUCUUGGUCUGGAUCCAUGGCCCAAUGACAUUGGCCUGAGCAGCAAACUGGCGACGCAGGCGUUCAUUGGCAUGCUGGCGGGCUAGUUCUUCCUGCAAUGAUUGAUCCCUCUGAGGUACCAGCUGCUUCACCUGUUACAGUGAGAAAGCAUUAAGUGUGAGGAUUCAUGACUGAAUACUUCUAAAACAAGUAGAACAAAAAAGCCUAUAGUUAGUAAUUUUUCUUAUUGGCCUGAAGAUUAAUAUCAGAACAAGCCAGAAAAAUUAUCACUGUUGUAUUUACCUUUGUGCUAACAUAAGGAAUUGCUACCAUAGUUUUGGGCAUCCAGAUGAGAGAGUGAAAUUCUCACCUCUGAGAUCACUGAAAUAUUUCAAAAUAUUUUGUACUAUGAAAGCUAGCUUAUCUUUCUACUACUUCUUUCAUCUCAACAUCAACUUCUCAUACAAUCUAUUACUUUCACUGUGCUUUAUGGAUGCAAAAUGUGUUUAAUUGCAUUUAAUACGUUUCUAGAAUAAUAAACGAUAACUUAAUAUUAUGCUGCAACCUCUUUCCACUGUCCACAUUAGAAAAUAUAUUUAAGAAGAAAUAGUUAAUUUGUGCCAGUUCCACCAGUUUUGAAAUGGCAAUUGGUUCAUUUUGGCAUCUGGUGAUCUAGAAAGAAAUGACAGAUUUAUUGUUAAGUUUCCUGGAUCAUCUCAGUAUUCCUAAACCAAACUACUACGUUACAACAUUCUUUUAUGCAUUUAGCAUUCAUUACCUUUUCCCACUUGGUGCGAAUCUCUUCCACAGUAACAGUGCUGUAAGGAUUGCUUGCACUUAUUCUCAUGCUGUAACUCUGAAUAACUUUUUCAACUUCAUUCUGGAUUGACAGUAUGGCCUGUCUUUCACCAUCUGCCUCUGGCAAAGUAGCUUUAAAUUGAUCAUGUGCAGAGAUUAAACUCUAAAAUCAGAGACAGAGAGGGAGAGCAUGAAAACUGUAAUUUUCCUUCCAACAUCUGGAGGAUCUGCUGUAAAUAAGCAUAGUUCAUUCUCUCAGACUCCCAAACACCCUGUCUACAUGUAUCUGUAUGUACAUAAAAUAAUACACAUAGAUACAUUCAUGAAAAACCCAUGAUUAACUUCAUCAAGACUACUGCUUCUUCUAUAUUUUAGAAUACUUUCAUGCCCAUCAAGAAAUAACUUUAUUAUAGACAUCACCUAUCAGAACGUAAAUGUUAGGACAGAAUCUCUUACCUAUGUUGUAUUCUCCAAGAAAGAAAAAGUUUCUUUUCUUGUCUUUCUUAUGACUGUAAGCCAAAAAAAAAAAAAAAGACAACCAUUUACCUGAAUUUCCUCUAUGCUAUGAACAAUAAACAUGUCCUGUAGGUCUUCCAUAGCACCUUCCAUCCAGUUGUUGAAAGGAGCAGCUCUUUUGGCAAACUCCAGGUGAAGCUGAUCAAUUGUUUCAAGCAAUUUCUCUGUCCUCUGUAUAGGUUGGAAAAGGUAAAUUCCUUUUUAUUAGAGGCAAGACCUAAUUCUACACACAUUCCUAUGAACAAAAUCAUGCUUCAUCUUUUCAAAAGCAAAUGAUUAUCUAAUCGAGUGGUUUCACCACUUGCUUUAUGGCAACAGUACUAAAGAUACUUUCAUAUCAGGCAUUAAAAGGGAUGUAUGCCUUUCAAGGGUAACAGAUGAAAUGACUUGUUUUUGAUAUUGUAAUCUAUCUGCAAAUCAAUUUAAAUCUGCUAAUCUUGCUUUAGUCAUUUCUUUCAAGUAGAAAUUCAUCCUCUCAGCUGAGCUGAUCAUUAUUAUAUUGUUUACCUCCAGUGCCUCUCUCCUUUUCUGAGUAAGUGUUCCCAAGCUGUCCCAUUGGUCACAUAUCUUUUGGCAUCGAUCAUUGACACUUGCAGCAUCGUGAUAGUCCAGUUCACUAAGAAAAAGUGAAGACAAAAGUCUGAGCAGUCUUCUGAGAGGCAGGAAUAGUUGCAUUGUGCAUGCUAUUCCACUGCCCUUCAGUAAUUCUUCCCCUCUAUUUUUUUGCAAUAUUUCUCCUCCAGGUAAGCAAGUGCUGCGUGUAGACAUGUAUGAUUUAAACAUGCUACAUUUCAAGAAGCACAGCACAGAAACAGUAUCAACACCUCCUUCAGUCUGAGGCUUUAUCAAGUUCCUGGAGGAGUCAAGAAACUGAAACUUGGAGGCUUGAAGCCACGAGGAGGAGUCUGGGAAUUUGAUGCUGGCUCCUCUUUCAACCACUAACACACAUUUGUUCCUGUUGGCUUUGCAGAUUUGUGCUGUGGGUGAGCAAUGAAUUUAAUUAUGUGCCAGAUGUUAAGAUCAGGAGUAGUGCUACUGAUUUACAGUACAAGACCGCUGCAAUUAACUGCAUAAGAUUAUAAAAUCAAAUGUCCUUAGCUUGUUGCACACAUGAAAAUGACUUUACCAGAAUGGAGACAUCAUUAUCUAACACUACAGUCCUGCCAGUGUGGGCAGAGCUUUGCUGACAAAGCUGUGCUUCACCCAUGUGAAUUAACAGCUUUCCCACAAACAAAAGCAGACUUAAUAAAGACAGAGCCUAGUCACAGUCACUGCACCAACACUCAGGGCUUCUGUUGCCACAGAAGUGUCUGUCAGGCACGGGCCUUGGCUUUUCACACCUCUGAACUACCUAGCUGAUGUCAAUAUAGCUAAAUAUGUUGUAGAACUGUUCUCAGCUUUGUUCUCUGGGCAUAGUAUGCUGAGUGAGGAGGAGAGGUUGUGUGUUUGCUUGCCUUGGAGCAUACUAGAGACAUUUUAAUCUUCGGAGACAUCAUUGCAUGACCCAAUAUCGAUACAGAAAGGAUAAUUUAAGGAUAUCAAAUCUUUUUAAAGGACCAACAUACCUGUGGGAAAAUACCAGAUUUUAAAUUGAAGAUGUUUGAUCUGUAAUAUAUCUAACUGCUAUUAUUUUCUAAGUUAAUAAUUUAUAACCAGUACCUCUCAGCAGACCAUAUGAACUAAGAAACAGACACCUCCAGCAUUCCCAUGAACACACAUUGGACUCAUUAGUAGAAAGAAAACAUUUGAAAAUGCUUGUUUUCAAAUAUUUUUGGUCAGUUGAAUGUCUAUAUUUGGUUGGGAGUAGAGGGGAGAUGAGGGAAAGGUCUCAGUGACCAGCUCAGAUAAUAUACUUAUGAAGCUAUCUCUGGAAUUCUUACGUUGGUACCUAUGACACUAUCAAAUUCAUUGGAAAGAGUUUAUCGCAAAGUUAAAUGUCAGCAGCUGCAAGCCUUUAAAUGGAACAUACUUCAGCUCCUGGGCAAUGGCAGCGAUCUGUUCCACCCUGUCCUGGUGAGCAGCCAAAUCGCUCUCAAAAGCCUCAUGUUUCCUCAACAUGGCACGGACUUCUGUCAGAGAUGCAGAUUCAUAAUCCUUCUGAAGUAAGAUCUGCUCUUUGCCUGAAAGAGGAUAUUAAAUUAUUAGUCUGUUUCUACUAAUUUAUGGGUUAGAACAAUAGCAAAUUCAGUCAACUUUUUUAUUUUUUUAGCUGAGGCAUGGUCAAAAUCACAUAUAUAAGAUGAAAUCCCUGCUCCACUGCAAUGAGUGGCAAUUUGUCAGCAUGACAGUGUUAAUUAGGAAAAUAACAUAUUUUUAAAGAUCUCUCAAUAAUCCCUUGAUUCUUGCACAGGAUGAUUAUACAUGUCUAAAAUAGCUGGUAUUGCAUUACUUGAGAAACUGCAUAAAGUGGUAUAUUGGCAAAAACUAAGGAUCUAAACUAUUCUGGCAAAUCUUUUAGAGUGUAUUACUGAUUUACAAAAUCAGAAAUCACACUGCUAUGCUCAGCUUCACUCCUACUAAGGAACUGUUACUCUUUUUCAUGGUCUGCUUUCAAUUCAUUAUUAAUUUCAGCACUUUCCUGCCAAAAUUAGAUAGACACAUGGCUGUAUUUUGUAUCAAUUACUGAAUUUUAAGUGGAAAAUGCCAACAUAGCUGCAAGAGAAGCAAAAAUGAAAUCAGAAAUUGAAAUAUUACUCCUCGGUAGCUCCUGUGUUGGACAAAAAUCUAUACAAACAGCCUGUACAAUUGCAGCUCGCCAUAUGACAUUACAUAGCUCUGCAGCUUCUAGAGCCAGAAGGGCUAUUGUUUCACUUGCUAUGUACAAGCUUAUGUGAAUUUUUCCCUGUAUAAUAGCCAUACCACGGCACCAUGAGUAGAAUAUCCUCAGAAAAUAGGCUCUCAGGGCUGAUAAAUACUGUAGUUUCUUUUCUAGUAUGUUUGGUAACUUUUUACUGCUAUGUAUGCUUCCAGCAACCAUGUUAUUGGAUAGCCUCAGUUUUACUUUCACAGUGUGAAAAGACUGUAGCUGGAAAAAGCCAAAAGCGUGGCAGAAACAGGAAAAUGGUUGUCAGGGCCAAAAACAACAACAACAACAAAAAAAUGAUGAGAGAGUGUCACUAUGCUUAAUGGUGUCAACAAAACUUUAUGUUGGCGUUGUAAAAUAGAUGGUCCUAUAGCUGUUACAACUACACCUAACGUUAGGCUAUCUUUAAAAAACAGAGCCACACAUGGGGUAUAAUCUAGGGCAUGGAGCAAAGCAAAAGUGAGUCCAUUAUUAUGCAGUUUAUGUGAACUAUAAAAAAUCAACAUGGCCAAGAUUACCAACCAGAAGAGUUCUGUUAAUAAUUCCACAUUCAGCCAGCCAUAGAUCCCAGUUUAUUUUUGAGUUUAAAAUUUCUGUACUCACUUCACUCCUGGCUGUAUCACUGGUGUACAAAUACACAGAUGCAUUACCAGUAAGAGCCUUUAUUCAUUUACUGGAUAGUGUUAUUAGGUUUGACUCAAUCCCUUAGGAGAAAAGAGUAUGAUUUUCACAGUUACAUUUCAUUAGCAACGUCUACAAAUUAGGACCAUGACUGUAGGCCACAGAACCUCCAAUUUUAUCUGUUAGCAUUUUACUUUUCUAAAGCUGUCCAAGCUAAUUUCUAGAGUGCUCCUGGUUGGCAAACAUCCAUCAUUGACAGUUCAACCUUGAAGGUUAAAAUGUGAAAAAUGUUAGAAGCCAUCUCUGCUUACCAUAUGCCCACUGCUCAUGAGUGGAAGCCUUCUGUCUAAAUUUCUCAGCCAAGUGUUCAAGUCUUUCCAGUCUUCGUAUUUCAUUCAGCAGCCACUCUUCAUAGCCUUUCUCAGCUUGUUCAAGCCUCUGCCAAGCGCCAGCAAUAUCCUGUUAAGAGAAUAUAUGAGAAGGAGUGAAUGAAACUAUAAUCUCUUUUUUAUCCAAAUUUGCAGAUUUCUGACUCGCUCAGUUUUCCUCCAACAAGAGAAGUCAGGAUGUCCAGAUUUUGCCAAAUACCAGAAUCACAGGAAAUGUCAGUUGUCAGGCAGCUCUGGAAACCAGACAGUCCAAACAACUGCACCUGACAAAGCAUCCCAACCAAGGGAGGUCGGGAUCAUGAAAGAAUCCUCUAUACAAAUAGUUUUCAGCAACAUCAUUUGUUCACUGUCUUCAUGACACAUUAGUUUUACCUCUCGUGUUCCAAGUACACGUUCUUUUGUGAUGUAGUUGUCUGUUAUCAGAAUGAAUGUGCUGUGCUCUCAGGAGCUGACAACAACAAAACAAUUAGUACCAAGAAGAUUAGAUCCUUAUUUUACCUGGAAUACAAAUUCAUUUCAUUUUCUGUGGUGUACAGUUUUGUGAUUUUCCUUAGAAGCUUAAAGGCAUGAGAAGGAAACUGAGGUGAGAGACCCCUUAUUUUCUGAGUAUGCAGCACAGCAGCCACCCUUUGCAAGUAAUGCAACCAUCUGUUUGUGAAAUCUAAGCAACGAAAGUACAGUGCUAAAACAGAAUAUAGAUACAGGUUUGCUGUAUUCCAGAAGAAAUGUUCUGACCCACAGUAAGACUAUUAUUAUCUUCAGAAAAAACGGAAGAUUUUUUUGAGCCAUUUCUCUGUUUCUCUGUGUCUGAUGAACAGAAUGUCAGUGAAACCAGCGUAAGUUUUGCUUUGAUAAAAAAAAAAGUGGUUAAGUAAACUAACGUGCCCAAAGAAAGCUCUGUCUCAAGACAAUUUGCUACUGAGGAAAGUUUUCAAAGAGCGAGGAGCAUACUUAAGGGAAAGAAAGAUUUUAGAAUGAAAGGGAAUGUUUAAGAGUGUGGUUUGAUAUUGACAAAUCGCAGCAAACUGAAGUUUCUGAGGAUGGCUCAAAAUAGUAAUUCAGUCCUUCAUAUUGAAAUUCUUGUGAGAAUGUUGGUAGAAAGGAGAAUGGAAUAUUGAUGCCUCCUUUACUUACUGAAACCAUUUUUCCCUCCGAUGGCAUGAAAGCUGGUCGAUUGCUGAUUCUCAGUUUUGUCUGCAGGGUGUUGAAAUUGAUCUCCAGCUGACAUUUCUCUUGAACUUUGGGAGGUUUGUGUUUGCGGCGGUAGUCCCGGAAAUCCUCUAAUUUCUUCUGCAUGGCCUGCAUUGUUUUUUCCGGGGUCCUGUUUUCCAGCCAAGGAAUUGUCCUGCGAAUCCAUUCUAAAAGCUUUCAAAUCAACACAAACAAUUUAAAUUAAGGCAAUGGAAGAGCAACAACAACAAAAAGAUAAUAUUUAAUGCAUAAAUUUCAAUCAUGUUUUCUCCAUCUUACUAUUGUUAACUUCCGUUGGAGUCAGGGUCCUAAUGGCAAGUAAGAACAAAAUUUUCUCAACAGAACAAUAACCCUAACUUUCUCAGAUAUUCUAGAUACUUCUGGAAAUACCUUGACUUUCAGGGUAUGAACACGGACAUGUACAUAAGGUGACUCCAGGUAAUUAAAACACAAGUUACCCAGUAUCACUGGCCACUUUCAAAAGUAUUGGUACUGAUGUCUCAAGUAGUCAUAGUUCAUAAAUAAGAAUGGACAUCAAUCAAGUAACUCAAGACAUGUAAAUGUUUUUGUGCAGAAGUCCUCAGUACCAAUCCAGCACUACUCUCAUUGUGUCUAUCAUCUCUGUAUGUUUUUGGAGGUUGUGCAUUAUAAAGACAAAGGAGCUCUCACUCAUGCACUACAUAUCUGCAGUCCUGACACAAUAGAUUUUCCAUAUACCAAGAAAAGACAAGAGGAGCUGAUUCAUAAAGUCUGCAGUAUAUACUUCGUGAAGAAAAAUUAUAUUACCUGUGCUUUGGAAAAAAAAAAAAAACAAUCUUCUGGUAAUAAUCAGAAACAACACAAGCAGUGUGCCUUCACCAUUCAUUUGCUGUAUGGGUUCACAGGUGUUUUGUGAACACCCUGAGACCCUGUCCAGGUACAGCUUGCAGUAUAUAAAGCCAGUGGGCUGGCCUGGAGUAAAAGAAUCCUGUAUGUUCCACGUGUGGUGAUGGAAGAGCUAUCACUGGAGGUUACAGAGACAACAAGCUUAGUCCUAAGGCAGCCUGAUGACAGUCCCCAAAACACCCUUUUUGGCACAAGAAAACAAGACUGAAUGACUUGCUGGAGGUCACACAGGAAAUCUCUGGCAAAGGACUGACCUGAUAUUUGACAUUUUUGGGAUACUGAACUUUGUACCCUACAACUGUGAGAUUCACCUUAAUAAUAUUUUCACUUUCUGCCUUGCAGACAGUGCAUGAAUCUUUCAGCUUUCAGUAUUUCAUGAACCGAAUUAUCACCAUGUUACAGAAAAGGCUGUCUUUACCUCACUUGCAAGUCUCUCAUACUCUUCCAUCAACCUCUCAUUUUCUUGAUUCACAGCAAGCACCUUACAGAUCCGGUUUGCUGCAGUCUCAGCCUAUAAAAUAUAGCAAAUAAACAGGACAUACUUGUAAACAUCCUGAGAAAGGUACAGGCUUGGAGAAAGAAAGAUAACAUGGCAGCUGCAAAUAAAAAUGACAUUGGUUUAAAGUUGUUGAUUUAUGCUUCUAGGUCACCCUCCUUCUAUACUCACAGACACUGGUGGUCUUAAAUGAGGCAUAGAUUGGCACAGAAGUCACUGAGUCAAUUAAGCCUUACUGUACAAGGGGGAAUUUCACACUGUCAUUAUAGUUGUUUAAUAAAUAUUUUACUUUCAAAAGCAACUGAAGCCAUUCUUAAAGUUAUCUUAUUCGGUUAAUUUUUUAAAGCACACUAAAAAGGUAUUAGGUUUGUUAGCUACAGAGGAAAAACUGGAUGCAAUUCAGGGGACCCACAUGCACAUACACCCUUGAAAAUAGACACAGUUUAACUACUGACAGCAAAUCUUUUCUAGACUCCUGCCAAAUUUAUUUCUAAAAGCACUGUAGCUCUGCCAUAUUUGAAACUGAGAUUAAUAGUUCCACGUCACAAAUUUAUAAUUUCAUAUAGAUGCGAAUCUGAAAUAUAUCCAGUCAACUGAAAAAUAGUAUUUGGAAUCUUUCUUUUCUAUUAAUAGCCAAACCUGCACACCCAGAUGGAACAAUGCACAACAGCAUAGCUGUGCUACAAUAUGGUGUAGGAGGCCUACCAGAUAGGAAGGGAAAUUCAAUUCAGAGGAAGAUGGAAAAAUAUCAACUACUUUAAGGCAUUUUUUUUCUCUCCACAUAAGUUGGUUUGUGUCCAUUUGUAGACUAGAAAUGUAAGAAAUACAGCAGAUGAAAAUGCAACAUUUGUUAUAAUACCAUCCUGUAUGAUAGAUCUGCUGAUACUCUUGCUUCUUAUACCAACACUUUGGUCUACAAAUAAUUCCACUGGCUUCAGUAGCAGCCAGGUGCAAAUACUGCUGUGGGAAACUUCUUUGCCUCUCCACAUCUCUAGGCAGCCCUAAAUUACUACUCAGAAUGAAUAAGUCCAGAAUACUCUCAGUCUCCAGAAGUCAAACAUGAUUUUAUGCAGCAAAAGCAUAAGAUGUUGAUGUAGCAACAAAAAAAUUCCGUUUCACAGUAUCUUCAAAUACAGUUUUUCUGAAAUGGUCUUUACAAUCACCAAAGACUCUCAACAUUAGAAUCACAAAUAUCUAUUAAAAUAAAAAGGUUCAACUUGCUACGCAAGAUUUAACUAAAACAGGUUCAGUGCUGGUUAAAAACAAGUAUUAGUGCUCAAGUAAUACUUGCAAUUGUUAAUUAAAACAGCAAAACACAAAAUUAGUGAGUUUGGUUGGUUGGUUUUUUUUUGGGGGGGGGGGGGGGAUGUUUUUUUGUUUUGUUAUAAACGAGUGGAAAAGUAAAAUAAUCAAAAACACAGCAACCUGAAGGGACAAUCGAUUAAUACCUGCUCUGCUCCAGCAAAAGCAUGGUAGAAGCAGGACACAUAUGUCAUGAUAGCUCUCUCAUCAGGUUUGGGAGUGUUCACAAUAUCUAUAAUAUUGGGGAGAAAUGAAAACAAAAAACAAACAAACAAAAAAGAUACAGGGAGUAGAAAACAGGGUGAAUAAAUAAAAGCACAACACAGUUGACACUGCAAAUAGUUUUUUGUACAUAGUUAGCUCUGUACUCUGGAAAAUAUACAAAGCUGGAAUAAACGCAGUUUUGGUUUGAUGGGCAUUGACAGAAAAAAAAUCCAUACUCUAGAAAUUGAACACGAACUCUUACAAAAAUGUAGAAUUUUUGAUCUUGCAGUACUGUCACAGAGAAAAAUACCUUAAUUUUAAAAAGACUAUCUGCAUAAUAAUUGGCAUGAACAUCUUGUUGACUAACAGAGAAAAGACAAGCUAGAUUUUGAUCUGGGGAGAUCUCCUCUGGAAGCUACAUAUGGAUCAGUUUUAACUUUAACAUUACAUAUCAGUACUCCUUGUAUUACUAAUGCCUAAAACAUGUCCUACUCUGAUUUGCCUUGCCUUUUCCACUUUCACUUCUUCUCAUUAGAACAUGAAUCCAGAGCUCUUCUGAGAUGUCUGUAUAUUUCCCUGUUUUGUAUAGUAGUGAUGUUUUAUGUUGCUGAUUGUACUUACCAUUGAAUAUUUAAUAUUUUAAAAAACAAUCCUGAAAGCAUAAGAAAAGGAUUCAUUUUCUGAGCAUCUGUUAUGAAGAUUUUGACAUAUGCAACAGGAAUAUCCAGCAGGCAAAAAAAAGAUGAAAUUCUGGUAUUGGAAUAGCUUUAUCACCGCAAGCUUAUUUUCUUCUAACAUUUUUAAGUGCUUCUCAUCAAAGCCCAGAAGUUCAAUCAAAGGAUAUUGAAUAACGUCCUACCAAGUCCAGUGAUCAGAUGCCCAAAACCUGCUGGAUAUUGUCAGUAAAUAUAUAGGAAGAUGAGAGAGGAAAGUUUGUAUCUACAGAACAAAUGGAUAGACUACUACUGGCUCUACAGAGACAGUGUCUCACAGAGAAAAGCAGGCAACAGAAAAUGAGCUCGGCUCUAAGAUGCUGUCCUAAGAACUAGUGAGGGAAAGAUCAAAAGAGGAAAAAAAAUUGCUGAAAGAAACAACAAAGAAGGUGGAGGGUGAGAUCUGAUCUAUCUACAACCUCACCUUCUGAGCACCAGCAAAUGCAUGGUAGUAACAGGAAACAUAAGUCAUAAUGGUUCUUUCGUCAGGUCUGGCAGUGUUUACUACAUCUGUGUAGAAAGAAAAGGGUUUACUGCUCAGAAAUUCUUAUGAGGUACUUCCAUUAGAUUAAGCUGAUGAUGCCAGCUCAGUGCUACAAAGAUUAAAAAUAAGUAUGUUAUCCUUCA